rnacentral:lncRNA from 1 species
GUCAGUCUGAUGAAGAUUGGCAUCAGGUUGAAGUUUGGAGCAGGACUCUGAGGCUCGCUGUCCUCCAUGCCGCUCACCAGAAAAGGGACUGUGAACUGUGCGCUGGCUCCAGCCCACAGGAAGAACUUCUGGCCCAGCUGGAAGUGAGAAGAAGGGAGUGAGUCUCCUGAGGGCCAUCCUUGAGGCUGCCAGGAUCACCCGAACAUCCAUAACUUUCGCUGACACUUAGCACACACAGCCUUAGAAAACGCAACUCGGUACUCUUUCUCGGUACUCUGCCUUGUCCCUGUGCACCUCUCUCUUCUCUCUGUUCCACGAACAGUAAACUGCUACGGAUACAGAUGGAGGGGCUGUUGCUUACACUGAUGACACUGAUGCUUUACAGCCCUUAGGGGCAAGCCUAUCCCAGGUUGUGAAAACUUCAGUUCCUGGACCUCAUGCCAGAGCUCUUGAUUUGUAAGGAGUCUGCAUCCCAAGUGUUUUUGGUGAAUACAGAGAACGCUGCAUCCCAGGUGUUUGUGUUGAACACGAGAACUAGUUCCUUAUAAUGUAUAAAGCAUUUUGAAUAGAGAAUUUUACUUAAUCCUCUUAUCAGAUCCGGGUUUUUUUUUUUAAUCCCUUUAAGUAACUUCAUGAUCUCACAGACCUAAGUAUCAGCAUAGGCCAGGAUUUAGACAUCCAGUUAUCCCAAACAAGCCUUUUUUUCUUUUCAGUAGGCCAUGACAAGGGCUGACUCCAUAGUGGUGAGAUUGGGCCCCAGCUCCCAAGGACCCUGCCUCAGACUUUGUCAGUUUCCCUGAGGUCUCAGGGCCACCAUUACCUUCCAAUUUCCCAGGCUUCAUUUGGGGGGGAAAUAUCCAUUGACCAAAUUCUUCACAAAAGCUAGUUUCCCUCCAGAGAGGGAGGGGAAGAGAGAAGGCAAGAAAGGUGGUUGUCCGUAGGUCCAGCUCCCCAGGCAGGUAGUUAGCAAAGCCACAGAGACUCAAGAGGACCUCACAUCUGCCUGUGGCAGAACUGGCUGUGGUCACCUUGUUUCCUGUGCCUUCUGGGUGUUUGGGGAGCUCUGUGUUUUGUGUGUGUUAUGGGGUGGAGAGCCUGCUGGGGCUCUAGGGAAAAGGGCAGAUCCCAGGACUCAGGGUUUCACUCAAGUAUGGGUUGAGUGAUGCCCACUUGGGAGAAAGGCGGACAAUCUUUUCAACAGUCUUUGGAACCUGUGCACAGGGACGUGGAAAGGAAUUCACUGUAGACCAUGGCUGUGGCGAGGGCCUGAAGAAGUGAGGGGAUGGAAAAGGAAAAAGUGGGAGUAAGAGUUAGAGACUGCUGGUGAACAGUGUGGACAGGUGUUGUGACCCAAGUCCAGUGACAUCUCUGGGCCUGCAAGCGAAUGGGCUUCCUCCUGCCAAGCCACCUAUUCCAGAGGAAGUUCAAUGGGCAGAGUCCUCUUUCCCUCUUUCCCUGGCUGAUGCUACCAGUGCCAGGCGAUGCCUAAGAAAGGAGGUGCCCCCACUGUCCCUACAUGGUGGAAGGUAGGGAAGGAUGGACAUGGGUUGACGAACUGCUAACGCCUCUGUGGAUUGUGUCUUUCUGUAGAAUGGACAGCUUCUGUAGAUAAGAUAGAGGCCAUCUCAGAUGUCACCCUGACCAUCCCCCCCCCCGCAACAUACACACAGGCACGCAUGCAUGCACACACACACACACACACACACACGCGUGCAUACACGCACACUCUGACUAUUGAACCAUCUUGCCAAGUGAGUGCCAGUCUGGACUGAAUACAGUUGACACUGUUGCUUGGGUGGGUGCAGUCGGCAAGGACAAUUUUUGCAGCUAAUGCUGGAAGUGUGGCAAUCAGAGGAGCCGCCAGCUGUCUCACUUAAAUUCUUAGCUCUCUCGCUCUCUUUUUUUAAAAUCAUUUUGCUUACAUAAUCCACCCCCUUUUUAUUUUCUAAUUCUCUCCUUGCAAAGCUGGCACCAGAGGGGAAGGGCUGGGGUGGAGGGGGUAGCAAUUACACAUCAGUUUGGGGAGCAUUUACAUUUUGCAAUUACAAUUUAAAAAUAAGCCUCGUUAAUGAUCUCCACGUGUCAACGACAACCCCUAACUGACAUACAUACUCUCCAGGGCCUGCCUGCCUCCCCCUAAAGUCAGAGGCUCAGUGGGGGUGGAGGUACCUAGGGAGAUGUGGGGGAGCUGAGGGAGCCAGGGGAGCAUCUUGGGGGAAGGGCGAGAGCGAUGAGUAUGCCCUUGGGGGUCGGUGGAGGGAAUCCGGGCUUCUAGCCCCUCUCCUCUUCCUUCUGCUCCUGCUCCCACCCAGUCAUCUCCCUCCAUGGCCAACACAACAGGCUCUGUGUCCUCAGAGGCAAUGUCAGUGUUCAGAGCUGGGAGAAAAGGAACUUCAGUUGCUGUUCCUCUUCUCCAAGGGGGAGUUUUCAGAGUCCUGUUGGGCCAACAUAAACCCUAGUCCCCCAGAACCAGCCGAUGUGCCUGGAUAUUCACGGGUUGGGUAGAGGGGCUGAGUCCGUAGUUAGGGUGCGGGAAGGGGGCAAGAUUUGCUGUACCCCAGUUUGGGAAGGACACUUCUCUUAGCUACCACACACAUAUGGGAGGGACACUUUUGAGAAGGACACUUCUUGUCUUAGCCACCACAUAAGUAUUGACACCCUCUGAUUCCUUGAGCAGAGACUUGGGAACAGGCCAGCCCAGCCUCGGAUUCUAGCUCUGCCAUUCGCCAACUGUGGGAUUUGGGGCAAACUAUGUGACCUCAGUUUUCUAACCCUCGCCAUCUUCAUGUUACUGGGAAAAUAAUAUUUACCCCACAGGGCUUGUGUGAGGAUUAAAUGCGAUAACAUAGCAGACAACACCUCACUUGAGCCUGGCAUGUGGUGACAGCUCCUCCUCAACCCCCUCCCCAACAUCCUCCGCCCUGCCCCCAUCGGAGCGGCUUCUUUUCAGCUUCCAUGGACACUAAGGAAGCAUGAUCUGGUCCGAUUUCUCCAGGUCUCCUCUCAAAGUCAAGCCAUCUGCACCCUGAGCAGCUCCUGAAGUGGACCCCAGCCCCUCACACCCCACCUUCUCCCAUGGGUCACUCAGUGGGGCCUUGGCAUCAGGCCUGGGCUCCAGCCUUCAGCAUCUCACAGGCUGCCUUCCUGCCUCUGGCUGGUGACAUGGCCAGCUUUCUCUCUCUUCUGGGCUCUAAUUCAAUGGAGGAAACUUCCAUCUGUCCCCAUGUAUGUUCUUCAUUCGUGGAAUGACAGAGGUGGACCUUUUAGCCUCGACAUCUGUAAUUCUCAGAUUUUCCUUCCCCACUUGGCUUCCCCCCACCGGUUACUUGUAUGUGAAGCUUCAUCUAGGCCAAUCUUUAACCUGAUGACUUGUAGUCAAGAGCUUGCAUUCUUUACUCGAAAUACACAUGAGACAGCUCUUCUCUGAGACGUAAAGAGAUCUGUGUCUUGCAAAAAUCUGAAUGAGGGAGAUGUUCAAGAAGAAGGCUGCUUGGUGGAAGGCAAAGGAUACAGAAAGGGGCUGCAGACAGGGCUUCCCUGAAGACAGGGACUGUGUCUUAUUGGUUUGGGUGUUUGGUUGAACACAGUUAAUGUUAUGUUUUAAAUACUGUUCUAAAAACUUGCUUUGUUAACCUAGGCUAUGUAAUACAGAGAUUUUCAGGUCAAAAUAAAUAGAUCAACUCCUUUUUUUAAAAAAAAAAGUUUUUAUUAUAGUUGAUUUACAAAGUUCUGUCAAUUUCUGCUAUACAGCAAAGUGAUCCAGUUAUUCAUAUACACACACACACACACCCCUUUUCUCACAUUAUCUUCCAUCAUGUUCCAUCGCAAGUGAUUGGAUAUAGUUCCCUAUGCUUAUCCAUUCCAAGUGCAAUAGUUUGAUCUACUAACCCCAAACUCCCAGUCCUUCCUACUCCCUCCUACUCCCCCUUGACAACCAUAAAUAUGUUCUCCAUGUCUAUGAGUCUGUUUCUAUAUUGUUUUGUUUUUUCUUUUUGUUUGGUUUUGGUUUUUUUUUUUUUUUUUUUUUUUUUAGCUUUUUAGGGCAGCACCCGUGGCAUGUGGAAGUUCCCAGUUUGGGGGUUGAAUUGGAGCUAGAGCUGCUGGCCUACCCCACAGCCACAGCAAUGCAAGAUCCAAACUGCAUCUACAACCUAUGCCACAGCUCACAGCAAUGCAGGAUCCUUAACCCACUGAGCAAGGCCAGGGAUCAAACCUGCAUCUUCAUGGAUCCUAUUCAGGUUCAUUACCGCUAAGCCACGAUAGGAACUCCCUGUUUCUGUUUUGUAGAUAGAUUCAGUUGGGCAAUAUUUUAGAUUCCACAUAUAAGUGAUAUCAUAUGGUGUUUAUCUUUCUCUUUCUGACUUACUUCACUUAGUAUGAGAAUCUCUAAUUUGAUCCAUGUUGCUGCAAAUUGCAUUAUUUAGUUCUUUUUUUAUGGCUGAGUAGUAUUCCAUUGUGUAUAUGUACCACAUCUUCUUAGUCCAUUCUUUUUUUUUUCUUUUUAUGGCCACACCUGUGGCAUAUGGGAGUUCCCAGGCUGGGGGUCGAAUCGCAGCCACAGCUGCCAGCCUACACCAUAGCCACAGCAACACUGGAUUUGAGCUGCAUCUGCAAUGUACAACUCAGCUUGAGGCAAUGCCAGAUCUUUAAUCCACUGAGUGAGGACAGGGAUCAAACAUGCAUCUUCAUGAAUACUAGACAGGUUCUUAACCUACUGAGCCACAAUAAUUUUUAAUCUACUUCAUUAUAUUCUCUUAUAUAGAUGUUUCAUUAUUGAUUUAAUUAUUUUAAAAAUUAAAAGUAAAGUAUGUAUAUGAGGGAAAAGCACACAGUGUUGAAAAAAAUAAAAUAGAAUAAAAAGCCUCCUUUCUUUCUCCCACCUCUACCCACUAGGUUCAUGGUCCAAAGUCAGUUCUGCAAACAGUUUCUGAUUUAGUGAUUUAGUGCAUAAAUUAUAUAAUGUGCAUUAAGUUCCCUCUUUUUAAUGUAUGUGUUUAUCUAUGAACUCCCUGUUGUGGAAGUUUGGGAAAUGAACACACAUUCUCAUUCUUCCAAUUUGUAUUAUUUUGAUCAAAUUAUAUUUGAUAUCGUCUACUUCAAGUUUGUAGUAUUAUAUAUAACACAGUGUGUCUGUUUAUAUAGCACACGGUGUUAUACUGUUUAGUAUAACCGUCUAUGUGCUAUCUUUAUGUUAAGAUUGAGAAUAUAAAUCUAUUAUUAAAUAACUGUACUUACCUCUGCAUCCUGGCUAGAGACUGAUUGUAAGGUGGAAAUGUAAUUUAACUACAGAACUAAAUUGUGAUCUGACCACAGAAAAGGGAAUGCAAUCCUGUCCUCACCACCUGGCGCUGCCUAGACUCUUCUGAGCCCCCAGGUUAAUGCCCGCCCCCACAGUCCCUUGGCCACCUUCCCUCCCGUUGGGUCAGCCUGGGCUGCGGCUCUCUCGUAUGUUGUCCUCCUCUUCCAACUUCUUUGUUUUGCUGGAAAACCACCUCUGGUUAUUUUUAGACGGAUGGGAGGGAAAUAAACUCCAAGUUCUCACGUGUCCAACACGGACUUUACCUUGUCUUCAAACUUGACUGAUAACCUGGCCACGCUCAGCUCAGGGCUACCACGUUCAAAACCUUUUCCUCAGAUCUUGAAGGUGCUGCUGCACCACUUCUUAUUUACACUCUUGCAGUGAGAAUCUACUUUUAGUUUUCUUUCCUUUUUAAAGUUCCAAAAUUUCACCACUAUGUGUUAAGGCCUGAGAUUUUGUUUGCUCCUUUUUGCAUUACUCUUCCUCCCCGCCUUUUUCUUGGCUGGCUCUGCAGCGUAUGAAAGUUCCUGGGCCAUGGAGUUCCCAUAGCGGCUCGGCAGAAACGAAUCCGGCUAGGAACCAUGAGGUUGCAGGUUCCAUCCCUGGUCUUGCUCAGUGGGUUAAGGAUCUGGCAUUGCCAUGAGCUGUGGUGUAGGUUGCAGACGUAGCUCAGCAGCUCAGAUUUGAUGUUGCUGUGGCUGUGGCUCUGAUUAGACCCCUAGCCUGGGAACCUCCGUAUGCCGUGAGUGUGGCCCUAGAAAGC